GUUUCUGUAGCUUAAAUAAAGCGAGGGGCUUUUAACCUUUUGAUGCAUUAAAUGCCAGAAGCU
rnacentral:tRNA from 1 species